UGGGGAAUUUUGGACAAUGGGCGAAAGCCUGAUCCAGCAAUGCCGCGUGUGUGAAGAAGGCCUUCUGGUUGUAAAGCACUUUUGUCCGGAAAGAAAUCCUUGGCUCUAAUACAGUCGGGGGAUGACGGUACCGGAAGAAUAAGCACCGGCUAACUACGUGCCAGCAGCCGCGGUAAUACGUAGGGUGCAAGCGUUAAUCGGAAUUACUGGGCGUAAAGCGUGCGCAGGCGGUUUGCUAAGACCGAUGUGAAAUCCCCGGGCUCAACCUGGGAACUGCAUUGGUGACUGGCAGGCUAGAGUAUGGCAGAGGGGGGUUAGAAUUCCACGUGUAGCAGUGAAAUGCGUAGAGAUGUGGAGGAAUACCGAUGGCGAAGGCAGCCCCCUGGGCCAAUACUGACGCUCAUGCACGAAAGCGUGGGGAGCAAACAGGAUUAGAUACCCUGGUAGUCCACGCCCUAAACGAUGUCAACUAGUUGUUGGGGAUUCAUUUCCUUAGUAACGUAGCUAACGCGUGAAGUUGACCGCCUGGGGAGUACGGUCGCAAGAUUAAAACUUAAAGGAAUUGACGGGGUCAUAGCUGUUUCC
rnacentral:rRNA from 1 species